AGCGAACGCUGGCGGCAGGCCUAACACAUGCAAGUCGAGCGCCCCGCAAGGGGAGCGGCAGACGGGAGAGUAACACGUGGGAACGUACCCUUCAGUUCGGAACAACCCAGGGCAACUUGGGCUAAUAGCGGCUACGUACGUAAGGAGAAAGAUUUAUGGCUGAAGGAUCGGCCCGCGUCCGAGUAGCUAGUUGGUGAGGUAACGGCUCACCAAGGCGAUGAUCGGUAGCUGGUCUGAGAGGAUGAUCAGCCUCACUGGGACUGAGACACGGCCCAGACUCCUACGGGAGGCAGCAGUGGGGAAUAUUGGACAAUGGGCGCAAGCCUGAUCCAGCCAUGCCGCGUGGAUGAUGAAGGCCCUAGGGUUGUAAAGUCCUUUCGGCGGGGAAGAUAAUGACGGUACCCGCAGAAGAAGCCCCGGCUAACUUCGUGCCAGCCGCCGCGGUAAAAC
rnacentral:rRNA from 1 species